CAAGGUCUCCGUAGGUGAACCUGCGGAGGGAUCAUUACACAAAUAUGAAGGCGGGCUGGAACCUCUCGGGGUUACAGCCUUGCUGAAUUAUUCACCCUUGUCUUUUGCGUACUUCUUGUUUCCUUGGUGGGUUCGCCCACCACUAGGACAAACAUAAACCUUUUGUAAUUGCAAUCAGCGUCAGUAACAAAUUAAUAAUUACAACUUUCAACAACGGAUCUCUUGGUUCUGGCAUCGAUGAAGAACGCAGCGAAAUGCGAUAAGUAGUGUGAAUUGCAGAAUUCAGUGAAUCAUCGAAUCUUUGAACGCACAUUGCGCCCUUUGGUAUUCCAAAGGGCAUGCCUGUUCGAGCGUCAUUUGUACCCUCAAGCUUUGCUUGGUGUUGGGCGUCUUGUCUCUAGCUUUGCUGGAGACUCGCCUUAAAGUAAUUGGCAGCCGGCCUACUGGUUUCGGAGCGCAGCACAAGUCGCACUCUCUAUCAGCAAAGGUCUAGCAUCCAUUAAGCCUUUUUUCAACUUUUGACCUCGGAUCAGGUAGGGAUACCCGCUGAACUUAAGCAUAUCAAUAA
rnacentral:rRNA from 1 species